CACCUCUCCACCACGGAUCGUCCGGCACGUACCUGCCGGUGAAGGGAAUAA
rnacentral:ncRNA from 1 species